GACGAACGCUGGCGGCGUGCUUAACACAUGCCAGUCGAACGCUGAAGACCUGGCUUUUGUUGGGUUGGAUGAGUGGCGAACGGGUGAGUAACACGUGAGUAACCUGCCCUCUUCUUUGGGAUAACGCCCGGAAACGGGUGCUAAUACUGGAUAUUCACUGAUCUUCGCAUGGGGGUUGGUGGAAAGGUUUGUUCUGGUGGGGGAUGGGCUCGCGGCCUAUCAGCUUGUUGGUGGGGUGAUGGCCUACCAAGGCUUUGACGGGUAGCCGGCCUGAGAGGGUGACCGGUCACAUUGGGACUGAGAUACGGCCCAGACUCCUACGGGAGGCAGCAGUGGGGAAUAUUGCACAAUGGGCGAAAGCCUGAUGCAGCGACGCCGCGUGAGGGAUGGAGGCCUUCGGGUUGUAAACCUCUUUCGCUCAUGGUCAAGCCGCAACUGUGGGUUGUGGUGAGGGUAGUGGGUAAAGAAGCGCCGGCUAACUACGUG
rnacentral:rRNA from 1 species